CGUCCAGCUACACUUAGGAGAUCAGGAAAACGCAGAGCCCAAGGAGCUGCAGAGAGAGUACAAAUCUGUGAGCAGACGUGAUGAUGUCACUUCCUCCCUACGGAAGGAGCCCUGCUGCGGUUGGAUGCACAGUCCAAUGCUUCGCCACUGUCAACAGUCUACAAUGUUAAUUUUCUCAGUCUUGUAGUUCCUGGCCCUAAAGCACCUGGUGGCUUCCGUGAUGCUCCUGCCUUCUUCCACCCCAGAAGCCACACAACCUGCCGUCCCACCUCUCACUACAGGGGAAAAAACGGAGAAGCAACAUGCUGGGUCCAGUGUUUGCCGUGGGCGAUAUACAGAAGGACUACACGCGCCAAGUGCUCAGAACAUAGAAGCUUUGUGCUGGCUCUGGAGCUUUCCUACAAACAGCUGGAAGGGGGCAGUGCUCAGGAGCUCUGGAGAUGCCAAAGAGCACAUGGAGGCUGAUCACGACUGACAACAAGCCACUACAGGGAACAGCCAUGCCUGCAAAGACUGUAUUCUAUUGUAAGAACAUAGCAGAACCAACCUAAGUUACUUUAAAAAAUAUAUAUGUAUAUUUUUUAUUUA